ensembl:lncRNA novel transcript
ACUCCUUCCUCAAAAGGCCUUCUAAGUCGUCACUCUCCUAGCACUGGUUACAAGAAAUGUCGGUGGGAGUGGUUGUUUUACGAUAAACCACUCUGAUAAAAAAAAUGCUCCAAUGAUUAUUUUUGAGAUGUCAGAGCUGAAAAUGUACAGAUUUCACUGGACGAAGAACCUGCCAAGUGGUGAUUGCACAACCAAAGCACUGCAAGGAACCAAGGAGGCCAAAUGUGUGUUGGAAAAAUCACAGAUGUCAUCUGGGAAUGCUCAGAGCCUUGGGCUUUCACGCUGAGACAGACUCGCUUCCACCGGAACCUCAGCCUUUUAAGGCUAAAUCAAGGCCGUGACUUCCUCAGCUGAAUCAACCUGACACUGUUCCCUGAGCUCACUGGGAUCCUAUUGGCAGAGCGUCAGCCCCGUCAUGGAAAGAAUGCCUCCACCAGGGAGGACUGGGUUAGUCCCCAUCCUGAACUGGAUCAUAAACACCCACCUUGUCAUAAAGCUGCUGGCUGAUAGUCCACUACGUUAUCAAGUUCAAAGCCUAAGAAAUAUUGAACAUUUCCACACAUGAAUGUGGGUACUAUGUUUAAUUUGAGAAUGGCCAACUGUCCUCGAAGUCUCAAUCUCUUUGGAGCCUACCAGCUCCGAGAGAAGUUUGAGGAUGCUGCAAAACCCUCCCCUGCAAAUCCAUCUACUCCUCCCACUUCUAUCCUAAUGGGUAUAGUUCUUGGCUGUGCUGAGGAUCUGUAAGGCACCAGAUGUGAAAGUAAGGAAGAAAGAUGGAUGUGGAAGAAAGUCACUGCCCAGAGAAUAAGGAGACCUGGAUUCUAAUCUCAGCUCUGCCAUUAACUAGCUGUGAGACUCAAGAAUAACUAAUCAUUUUGAUAACUCGUUUUUUUACUUUUUAAAAUGAGGAGCCAAGUUUAGACAAUGAGCUCGGCUCUUCACCAGUGAUAAAGUGUCUGGGACAUGCUUCCAUUCAAGCAAUGCUCUUCCUUCUUGUCUAUACUUUAUCCAAGAAAGAAUAAAUCAUUUCCAAAUAUUUUCAAAGAUGAAACUAUGGCUCAAAAGGGAAUAAGAGAUCAAGGCAAGCAUGGACAUCUUGUACGUGGAAGUGCAGACCAGAACUUGUAUCACAGCCAGUCAUAUCUGGUGCUUUCCAUGCUACUUUUACAUACAUGUUGCCAGUAAUGAUGUUUCUGGUGAUCUGGCUCAGAAGGCUGAGCUGAUGAGUGAUCACUCAGAAAUACUGAAUCAGGCAAUGGAAAUUCUGAAUCGGUGGGCUCUGGAGAAGGAACUGAGGGCGAGGUGACUCGGGGCCGGAGGGCUAUUAUGGACUAUGGACAAGCUGAAGGCAUGGGAAGCCUGACCAGUAGAUAGAGGAAUAUGAACUUGGUGGACAGGGAAAAGCAGGGACGUCAUGAACGAAAGACCACAGACCCUCUGUUCUAGUCCAUGGGGCCAGGCUGUGCUCCACUGCCUACUCUUGGAUUCCCCAAAGAAUGCUUUAUGUCCUUAUAAUAAAUCCACCUUUCCAUGGACAAAAA